CAUGGAGAAAGCUGACUUGGCUAAUGUGGUACAUAGAAGAUAGCUCAUUUAUAUACCUAAUCCAUG
rfam:Sarcophilus harrisii ctg7180001552139, whole genome shotgun sequence.